GCCGGCUACGUAUAUCCAGUGAGCACAGCCACUCGCGCUCCUAGAGGAGUCUUCGCCGCACCCGGCGCUGUUCCCCCGUCCCCGUCCCACUCGCGCCCAGCUUCCCGCGCCGGAAGGACUGCCGCACGGUACUGUGGAGUUCAAAGGGAUCCCAGUGGCUGCAAGUCAACCAGACUUGGGCCAGAGCUUGGAGUGGCCACUCCUGCCCCUGCAGUCGCUGCCUUCACAGUAGGAACAAGCAUCAGCCCGACACCCCUGCGCUUCGUAGGGAACUUCCAUCCAAUGAGAAAUGUUUAUACCUCAUCUGGAAACUCCUAUUCUCCAGUGUUGCAACUACACCUGCAACAAAAUGAACUGCCUGGCUACUCUGUGGACAUAUCUCGCACAGCACAAUCUUACCGUGUUUACUGAUCAUCUGGUUUGCACAAUACUUUGUGCCAAAAUAGACGUCGUAUCUACUGAACUCCUACCAUGUGCCAGGAGCUGAGGAUAAAAUACUGCAUAAAAAAGUCAAAGUUGAUGGUCCCAAAGAGGGGUCAGAUAAAAAAAUGAAAUAAGUGCUUUCACAGAGUCCAGCCUGAUGCUGCUCUGGCAAGAGCCAGGGUACUCUGGGGACAGAAGGGAGUGGUACCCAGGCUGCCAGGCUAUGAUCCAGCAGGAUCAGCAUCCUGAGGCCUUUCGCUUUCCCUCUUCCCUGAGGUGGGAUGUAGACAUGAUGGAUGGACAGACCUAGGCUGCCCCUUUGAACUCAGAAUUGGAACCUGGGUGGUGAAGAUUCCUGAGCUGCCCUUCCAGCCCUGGACUCUUCCUCUGAGCUGUGCUGUGAGUUAGCAACUCAUUUCUACUUUGAUUGUGCUGCUCCAUUUCCUAUCUCUGUGUUAUGGCAACUUAACUUCUUCCUAAUUCUCUCUAUAUGACCUGUUAUUCUCUCCCUCCUCUCUCACCAAAAGUUUUAGGAUCCCCUUUUUAGCUCCUGAAAUUUCAUGAUUGUAGCUCUGCCAUGUUCCUUUCUAAAUUGAGCAGUGCACUUUUAAUCAGCAUUACUGUGUUUUCAAUUCUGUGAAAUCUUGUCUCAUUUCUUCAAGAAAUGGCCCCUUUCCAUUUUAUCUGUAGCUUCUGUCUGAAAACUUUUAUCGUCUAACGUUGGUCUCCUUCCCUUUUUUCAUUCCUCAUUCCAGUGGGCCUGCCCACACCCCCACUUUCUGGAUUUUAUCUGUCCACUCUUUUGGCGCCUUUUUUUUUUUUUUUUUUUUAAAGCUGUGUUGUUUUCAGUUUUCAAGAGUUCUUUUUCAUUGUUCUUUCUGUCUCUUUGAAGAUAUUAAGUAUGGGGUUUUCUUCCUUGGAUUUGUUGUUACUGUUUUUGCUUUUCCUUGCUGGUGUUCCCUCAUGCUGGAGGCCCUUUCAGAUGUGUGGUGAUAUGUGGCCGUGCUUUCCUGUUUAAGAAUGAAGCCACUCUAAGUGAACUGGCAGAGCUGGUCAACGGAGGGUGACUGGGUGGCAAACAGGUCUAUUUUGUGAGGCACUCCCAAGUGUCAGCAUCCUGACGACUUUUCUCCAGGGCAGAUUAAUUUUUCAAAGGGUGAGUUCUAUAGAUUCCUGGUUGGAGGGCAAAUGCCUCACCCUCAGAGUUGUGGGGAGGAGGGAUAGCUCCUCUACACUCCCAACUAGCUUUCAUCUCAAAAGGUAUUAUUGAUUCACUGUAGUGAGUCAAGGACUAUAAUGUGCAAGUUAUAAUAUAUGUGUAUUUGUUUAUUCAUUGAACAAAUGUUUACAAUAAGUCAGUGUGUGUGUGUGUGCACAUGUGUGUGUGUGUAUGGGUGACACUGGGGAGACAAAAUAGAGAAAAAUCACAUCUGUGCUUUGGCUUAUAGCAGGUGUGAUUACGAUGUGAGUCCAGGUAAUGACUGUCGCUGUGGGUGGAGGGCACCUCGGCAGCACCAGCCAGCGCCAGGCAGGGCUUUCAACUGUAUUUUUUCAGAAAGUAGGGGAAGCGACUCUAUUCCUUUCUGCCCAUUUCACCCAUACAGAGGUUCCCUUCCUGCUUGCACCCCCAUUCCCAAACAGAUUUACCAAUUAUAUAUUUAUAGACUAAUAUGCUUUGAAAAGACUUCUGACAUGACAAUACUGCUGAGAAAAUGAAAGUCUACCACUGUAGGGAAGGCCUCCCCGACCCUUCCCCUACUGUUCUAUGAGGACAGCUAUCCGCUGCUUCACCCCAAAUAUGUCUGGCCUUGAGAAACCUGAAAACAGUGUGUUGUACCCAUGGGAAAAGAGCUAGAUAAGGACCUUGAAGGCCAGACACCUGGCCAUGAAGGCUGCACGCAUGUGCAUCUUCAAUAUUUAUGCAACCAUGAAUUAGCACUGUAGCAGUAAAAGAAGUACAGCUUUAUGAAGAAUAAAGGGGCCUCUUUGAGUACUCUCCAUGACGACUCCAGCUGCCUUCUUUGCUCUUCGUGUUGCCCCAAAAUCUCAAAGGCAACCCCCAGACCCCAACAACCAGUCAUUUAUAUCUUGGUAUUGUAGGACCCCUUCCUCCAUUUUGUGCCCUCCGUCUUGAAUAACUAUGUCCCCUACAUGACCCCUGACUCCAUUUUGUGUCCCCCAUCUUGAAUAACUAAUGACC